AAAAAGGGUAUUUUCUCUGCUGCACAAUCUGUUGAACUUGCUUAAAUAGUAAGAAUAAACUUUGGUCACUAAACCAUUUCAACCGGGCAGUUUCAAUUGUACUUACUAGGCCUGAAGCAUAAGAGGAAUCAGAAAUUAUGUUAACAGGCUGUUGGAAAUCUUGCAACGCAGCCUUAAUAGCUUUUAAUUCAAUUCUUUGCACAGAGGUGUGACUGGUCAGUAUGACUCGGUCAGAAUUUAUAGUAUGACAGGCAGCUUUCCCAUUUGAUAACCCAUCAGUAAAAACAGUUAAGGCUCCAGGAAUUGGUUCCUGCCUAGUGUUUUUUGGUAUAAUGAUGGAGGUCUUAUAUAAAAAUUUUAGUAGUUUAUAUUUUAAUAGGUGACAGCUAAGUUCCCCUGAAUAUCCACUUAGCCCAAUUGCCAAUUUUAAGUCAGUUUGAAAUAACAUUUAUUCUUUUAACUUUACUUGUCCUAAGUUAUGGACAGUAAAUGACAUUAAUUAAAUUUCUGAUAUUAGUCUUUGGGUAAAUUUACAUAAACUUUGUUUAAGGAGGCAAAACACAAAUUAUUUAAUUUAACUUAUGAGGCCCAAUAUAUUGAUUUUUAAUUUUAGUUAGACAUCUCAAGGAAACCUCUUUUUAUUUCCUUCCAGACAGCUUUCUUUCUCACACAAGCAACAAAUGUAAGGAACAUGGUUGCCUUUUGAGAUUUUAACAAACACUGUCGCAAAGCUAUAUAUUUCAAGUGAUUUUUCAUUUAUGGCAAAGCGAAGCAAGUAAAUUUAGUAUUUAGUAAACUUUUGAUUUACUAGGGGUAAACACUGCACCACUUCCAGCCUAAUUUAAAAUGCAGUAGUGAGGAGCUUUUGCUAUUUAAAAUUACAU